rnacentral:misc_RNA from 1 species
GCUUCAACUGCCUGUUGUAAGGAAUAUAUAGCAACCAAAAAAAGGAAGACAAUUAGAAAAGAUUAUAAAUUGCAUAUAAAUUGAACACUCAGAAAAAAAAAAAAAAACAAUUAUUAUGAGCUAUGUAGGUAUGAGUGCCAAUAUCUGAUUCCUAAUAAUCCCCAUGCAUUUCUGAAUAUCUGCAUAAAUUGGAAGGUUUGGUGAACAACAUGGCUUCAAACUUGUAACUGCAGAAUCUAGUACCUCGGCAACAUCACUUGGUGGAAACUGCCUUUCUGUACAUUUCUGAAUCAUAAGCAAAGUAGCUACACAUUGCGUAAUGAGUUCUGAAGGGAUUUGUGCUUCAUUUUGGUCAGAUAUAUGGUCUAAGUGAGUAUCAGGAGCAUGACUGUUUUCCCCCACAUUUGCUGCACAGGAACCUGACUGAUCCUGAGAAGCCAGGCUACCGUGAACUAAAUUUGCAGUGGUAGAAGUUUGCAUGCCUGGUGUGCUUAGAUCAUCUACUGAAAGUUGAUUAUUUACAAAAUCUAUAGCCUCCUCGAUACUCUCAAAGCUGCUUAAUCCCUUCUUCAAAGAUGACAUUGCCUGCAUAGCUGCAUCAACCAUUGUCUGAGCUUUUGCUCUUGAACUUUCGACAAUCUCAGCCACAUGAGAUCCAGAUUCUUGAAUCUCGUCUGCAGAAUGGUCAAAAGAGCAGCAGUGCCCAGCUGGUUCACCUAUACCGAUCAUGGGCUUCAGCCAUACAUGUAGGUUAUUCCCUUGAUAAGUGUUACGUUGCCUCAAGCAAAAGAGCGCAGCAGAAACCUGUUCAUUGACUUCAUUUAACUGCAAAAGUACAGCAGCAUAAUGCUUCUUAAAAAGUUCAGAAUCAUUUAGGGAGUUUUCUCCAUCUUUUUGGUUUUCCACCUCAUCAUUCAUGCGCUUCAACUCAGACACCACAGCCUCCUUCUUGUCAAGAGCACGAGUCAACUCUGAAAGAGCUUGGAUAUCAGCUUCCUUUGCUUGGACAUGUGAAAGAAUAAAAGGUUGAGCAAUAACAGGUUCACCUGACUCAAUGCUAACUUGUACAUUAGAAUUUGCUGAACCACCCUUCGCAUGCUGAAAUAAAUUGCUGAUGAGAUGAGUUGAUGGGGAAGUAUGUGGAAAACCAGUGCCGUUCUCCAGAUUCUCACAUGAAGCAAAUUUUAUGUAUCCUUCCAUCUUCCUUUCCAUUGGUUGCCCAUUCAUUUUGAUGUCAUUUAAGUUCUCAAUGAAUUUAUUGAAAAAAAUAUUGUGCCUGGUAAGAGAUGCAGGAAUAUUUUCCAAUGGAUUUAAAGGCAUGCAAUCAACAUCCAUGACAAAUUCAACCCCUAGUUCAGGUUGGUCAAACUGAACUCGGCACCUGUUAUGAUCAACAGUAAGUACACUUCCAUCAUGAAUUUCUCUCGUUUUUGGAUGAAGAGCAAUAAUACGUUGUCCAACGGAUAAGGGCCGAGCCAAAUCAGUAGGAAGUCCAUCCUUGGUACCAGCACGAAGUUCUGUGUAAUGGUUUCUGACAGAUUCCCGGUAUUGAUUAAGCUUCUCUUUCUCCUCCUUUAAAAAUUGCUCUGAAAAUCUUCGUGGUUUACCAAGGGAGCUCCUUAUGACACCCCAUUCAACACGAGUUAAUCUCGGAAUAUGGCCUAAUCCAACAUGAUCCAGGUAUUCCACAAACUCCCUUUUAGCAAACCACGGGUAAUCAAUUGCACUGUAGAACCAUUCAAAAACACACCACCUCCGAACUUGAUACCAGGAAAGACAAUUAGAAAGCUUUUUCUGUAAUUAUCAAUUACAAAUAAGUCAAACGUAAUCAAAGAUUCAAGAAAACUACAUGGAAAUAUAAAUAACCGGCAUGCAUCUAACCUUAAGAUUGAGUACAUUGUCAUUGAAUGAAGGAAUGGCAAUAUUGUAUUGGCCAUUUACAAUAUUCUCAGAAGACGUAGUAUCUUUAUCAACCAAUGGUUUUGGUGUGUUUAUUUUACGCCUACUUCUCACUUUGGUAGGUAAGUUGAAUUGGUUUGAAGAUAAAACCUGUAUGGAAGAUGGAGCUGAAUCAUUUGACUCCCUUCCAUGGUCAUUGGAAGCAAAUUCUGGAGGUUUCAUCAGUUUCCCUUGUUUUUGGCAUGCAGAAUCAUGAGAACAUUUGGCUUUGUUCAUUAUGUCACUUACAUCAUCAGUGCCCUCAACCUUCUGAGACUCGCCCAGAUGAGAAUCAAUAUGCUCUUCAUUUUCUAAUAUCUUAGAUGGUAAGGACUUCUUUCUCCUUUUCCGAAUCCCAACAGUAAUCUGAUGGGCUCCAUCCUUCACUUCGGGACUAGCACUAACAUCUUGAGGGAAAACUUUUCCUUGUUUAGUUGUUUUGGAUGCAACUUUAACUCUGGUAGUUGAAUGAUUCCCUUUCAACUUGGUCUUGGAAACGAUUUCAGUCUUCUGUUCCUCAACAUGGACAGAUGACUCCGUAUCAACAGGUGCUUCUGGCAGCCUCAGUGACAAAUCUGCCAAAGCUUGCAAUGCAUCAAAGGCAUCAGCUUCACCUUCUCCAAAGAGAACUUUCUUGCUUCUCUUUCUUUGACCCUUAUUAGAAGGCCUUGGAAGUUUUGUACCCAAAACCUCCAUUUCUAAUUUUCCUUUGGUAGCACUCAGCUUCUGUCCUUCCUCUGUCCCACUACAAGCUUCCUUUAAGUCAUCCAAAUGAUCAUCCAUAUUCUCCUCCACUUCUGGCUUCCUCACAUGAUAUCUCUUCCCCUUCAUGAAACGUUUAUUUCUUACAUAAUGUCCUAAAUCAGCUUCUGUGCUUCCCAAGCUUAAUUCACACCCACCCUCAUCCAUUUCACUGCCACGAAGCUUGGUGUUGGUCAUCUCUGAUUCAGCAUGCAUAUGUUCACCAUUCCGAACAGGAGAUGGUGUCUCUGUUUUUCUGUUUGGUGUUUGAGAGACUUGGGGAGAUCCAGCUCUUUGAGAAGCCUCUGUUAAUACUAAUGCUAUCUCAUGAGCAACAUCAUCAUCUAGUGCAUCAGCCUUUAAUUUCAAACCUUGUCUAACUGGUGAAAUAUACUUCUCCCGGUUGUCUUUGUCAAAUGAAUGAGAAACAGGGACACGAGGAGUCCUUUUUCCAACAGCCCAGGGCCUGCUUCCAGAUCGCCUCUUCUUCAACAAUGACAAGCAGCCAUAAUUUGAUGCAGCUGACUGGGAUUGCACAAGAUCUGGAACCAGUGAUGCAUCUAAUUCUUUAGUUCCUCGAGCACUCUUUUGAGGUUUUCGAGGGGCCACUACAGGCUCAUUAGUUUCUUGUUCACUAUCACUGUCCUCCAGAUUACUGUAAUGAUCCGUCAUCAUUGCUAUUAGUCCAGCUGCAGAAGCAUACCCUCGUGGAAGAGAUAAAUAAGCCCUAUUCAUAGUAUAAAGGGCUUCUACAUUUUCCACAGACCGGUCACGCACUGAAGCAGUUACCUUCUCCCAAUCUUUCCCAUGCUUACGAUAUGCCUUGUAGAAACACUCAAGCUCUUCCUUGCUCCAUUGUGGUCCUAACAUGUCAGACAACUUCCUCUUCCGCUGCCUACUUUUGUUAGUGUUCUCUCCAUUCUUGUUAGAAGUCGCCUCAUUGAUGUAUGAGAACCGCUUAUUCACACUUCUAGACUUUCUUGAUGGAGCCAUGAGUAACUUGAUCAUGUAUCGAUCAAAGCGCUGGGUUUGGUAGACUAAGCAUCACAAGAAGAAGAUGAUGAUAAGGCGAAUCAAAUCGAAACAGAAAGCGAUCGAUCAAGAAGGAAGGAAGCGAUAGUGAAGAACGAUUUGAGAAAAAUAAUAGAGAAAGGAUGAAAGGAUGGUGGAGAAAUUUGGGGGUAUAACCGCGAAACUUUAAAA